rnacentral:rRNA from 1 species
AUGAUGGAGCUACCAGGGAGGCAUUAUUGGGUCUUCAGUGUCAACUUGAGGGACGGACGCUUCGAAGUUCUUGAUUCAAGCAGGACGCUGGACAACAUUGAGCUGAUGAACAACGCCUCUACCAUUGCGGGGGCAGUACGCCAGCUAUGGAGGAAGCAUUAUCCAAAGUUCAUCAUCGAGCACUUCCAGAUUAUUGAAAUUGACGUAUCGAAGCAGCUUGGCAAUAAUGAGUGUGGGUUGUUCGCACUGCUUAACGCCACCGAGUGGAAUGGUAGCCAACUGCCCAACUACGACCCCAAGGAAGUACUCAACAUCAGGAAGAAGCUGACGUAUGAUUGGGUCACCAGCGUGCACAACACCGCCCCAUGGAGGAAGUUGCUGAGAUACGACAAGGAGUAG